UUCAUUUCGGGGUGCAAGUAAAUUACUGCAUUGCCUCCAGCCUGGCACAGUAUUUUUGAAGUGAUAAUUGGCUCGUGCAGACCAAUACCACUCUUUAAACUAAAUGCAGUCCACAGUAGCACAGACGCUAAAUGACUGCUGUAAACAACAGAUAGUCGUAGGUGUUAUAUCGAAGUUUCCGUCUCCUAGACUGGCUGCAGAUCAAAGCUACAGAGGCCAGCCUGCCUACUUGCUGAACUGCUGAUUUAGGUAAAAACAACCAAAGCUUCCGGUAGCCAUGAAAUAAAUAACCACUAUAUUAAUAAAUGAUAAAAUGAGGAAUGUCUUGUUAGAUUAUUUUCAUAUUUCGGAUAUUCCUUAAGAUUUAAAAAUUAAAAUAUUCUAGAAAGACAAUGGUAAAUGGAGGCGGACAUUAUUUGAUCAGGGAACUCAGUGAGUGGUUAAGCGCUUGGCUUCUGUUUCUUUUAAAACAAAGGCGAAACGUUGUCUAAAACUUUGAAGUAGGGCUGUGUGUUGGCUCCAACACUAUUCAGGUCUAUGUUCACUACAGUGCUGAAAGAUGCCUUUUGCAAAGAAUGCGUUGACGCACUGACGCAAGUCUAUUUAAAAUUCAGAGACCUAAGGCGAAUACCAAAGUAAAAAAUGACUUGUGUGGACUUUACAACCAUCUUCGAGUUUAUAGGAAAUGAUAAAUAUGCACAUUUUAUGACGAAGGAGAAGCUUUAUAUACAGCCUUGCUCUUUUGUUUAUAAUCAUUUCUAUGAUGAAAUUACAAUGGUUUCUUACCGGAUUUUUAUUGCUUAAAUCUUACUUCAAAAUGUAUUCUAUAAACUUGAUGAAGACCAAAUACUUACUUGCAUCCAGUAAAAACAACAAAUUUCUUUAAGAAGAACAUUUUAAUCUACAUGUAUUUAUAAAAUUAUAGAUUUUGCAGAAGACAGGCGUAGACAGACAAAAGAAAACUUAAAUCUUCCACUGGUAGAAAAGUUGUUUUUUUCUAAGAUAGUUGUGACUUUAUAUGUAGAAUCUUUUAAAUAUUGAUUUUAAGAUAAGUCUAAAUAGUAUACUCUUGCGUUUAUACCGAAUUCCGAAAACUCACUGAUCUGUUUAAAAAAAAAAAGGCCAAAUGAAGCAAUUCCCGACACUUUUGUAGUCAUUGAUGCGUUUCAUUUGUGUAGAGGAGAUAGGACCUUAAAAAAGUUUUCAUGUCAAAGGCGAAGGACCUGCCGUGUAAAAACUAUAUGCUGUGUCAACAAUGUUACUAUACAGUGUACACCUGAUAUACCAAUACCACUCUUUAAACUAAAUGCAGUCCACAGUAGCACUGACGCCUAAGACUGCUGUGAACAAAAGAUAUACGUAGGUGUUAUAUCGAAGUUUCCGUCUCCUAGACUGGCUGCAGAUCAAAGCUAUGUAGCCCAGCCUGCCUACUUGCUGAACUGCUGAUUUAGGUAAAAACAACCAAACCUUCCGGCGGCCAUAAAAUAAAUAUUUUUUAUAUUGAUAAAUGAUAAAAUGAAGAAUGUUUUGUUAGAUGAUUUUCAUAUUUCGCAUUAAGAUUUAAAAAUUAAAAUAUUCUAGAAAGACUAUGGUAAAUGGAGGCGGACAUCAUUUGAUCAGGGAAUGCGGUAGCUGAGUGGUUAAGCGCUUGGCUUCUGAACAUGAGGUUCUAGGUUCGAAUCUCGGUAAAGACUGAAAUUUUGUCAUUCGGGAUUUCUAGGGUGCCCCUGAGUCCACCCAGCUCUAAUGGUACUUGAGUUUGGUUUAGGAAAGAAAAGGUGGUUGGUCGUUGUGAUGGCCACGUGACACCCUGCUCGUUAACUGUUAACCAAAGAAACAGAUGACCUUAACAUUAUCUGCCUUAUAGAUUGCAAGGUCUAACAGAGUAACUUUAUUGUUUUUUAACAUAAUUAGAUCACGGCUCCAGAGAAAAACGUUCGACAGUCCAGAUCGCAUAUUACACGACCAUAGAGCUUGUAAAAAAAAUACUCACAAUUAUCAAAAAAUGCAUUAGUAAAGAUAGCUGAAACCUUUUUUUUUUCAUUAAAAAAAUAAAAUAAAAACUAAGAUAAAUUUCCGCAUCAUUGUAAGAAAAUUAAUACAUUUUUUUUUACUUUUAAUGGAUUUUAUUUAAAAUUUAAAAAAAAGAAAAACAAAGUGGGCGGUCCGGGUUUCGAUCGAUUACUGUCGCCUUAGAGUAGCCCGCUAUCUCGGUAUCGCAUAUUUUUGCUAGCGCACUACUCAUCGGGUCUGUUAACCACUUGUAAAGGUAUCAGAAUUUUUACUAUAUAUGUAAACUCAUUUUAUGUUUAUUUCUUUGAUAAUUUAACUCUACAUGAUUUAAAAUAAUUAAAAUCAUUUUAAAGGUCUCGGAUUUAAUUAAGCAAAAUAAAUUUUUAUUUUAAAUUUUUUUUUAAACCUUCAAGGAAGUUAUUUAAUUUCGUAAAACAACAAACAUUUUUAUAAAAUUUUGAACAUGCGAACUUCCGUCAAAAAAAAAAGCGGAAGACAUUUCUGAAAAUGUUCCAAUAUGGACGCAAUCUUUAAUGUUGCCUAUUAAUACAGUGUUAUCUACAUUUACCAUGUAAAAUGUGUUUUUUUCCUCAUUGCUUUUGUAUCAGUUAUUUAACUUUCAAUCUUUGAAACACCUACAACAAAAGAAGAGCAAAGACAUUAGCCUACAAUAAAAGAAUAAAAGAGGACUAAAACAGCUUUGUUUACAACUCAACAAAUUUCUACCUAGACACUUUAAAAACGAGAACUUUCAAUGUCUGCCUUAAGAAAAUCACAUACUUCUCUCAUCAGUGAAGAAAUAAUAUUAAAAAAACAUUAUGAAUUGUGAUUUAUCAUAAAGUUAAAUGACUCUACAAUAAAUUUAAGAAAAAGAGAAUUAUCUUUACCAAGACAAUAUUUUAAAACAAAGGCGAAACGUUGUCUAAAACUUUGAAGUAGGGCUGUGUGUUGGCUCCAACACUAUUCAGGUCUAUGUUCACUACAGUGCUGAAAGAUGCCUUUUGCAAAGAAUGCGUUAAAGUUGACAUACGAUUUCGCACUGACGCAAGUCUAUUUAAAAUUCAGAGACCUAAGGCGAAUACCAAAGUAAAAAAUGACUUGUGUGGACUUUACAAUUAUCUUCGAGUUUAUAGGAAAUGAUAAAUAUGCAUAUUUUAUGACGAAGGAGAAGCUUUAUUACAGCCUUGCUCUUUUGUUUAUAAUCAUUUCUAUGAUGAAAUUACAAUGGUUUCUUACCGGAUUUUUAUUGCUUAAAUCUUACUUCAAAAUGUAUUCUAUAAACUUGAUGAAGACCAAAUACUUACUUGCAUCCAGUAAAAACAACAAAUUUCUUUAAGAAGAACAUUUUAAUCUACAUGUAUUUAUAAAAUUAUAGAUUUUGCAGAAGACAGGCGUAGACAGACAAAAGAAAACUUAAAUCUUC